rnacentral:tRNA from 1 species
GCUCACGUAGCUCAGUUGGUAGAGCACUUCCUUGGUAAGGAAGAGGUCGCCGGUUCAAUCCCGGCCGUGAGCU